AGUUUGAUCCUGGCUCAGGAUGAACGCUGACAGAAUGCUUAACACAUGCAAGUCAUUGGCGAAGCUGCGCUUGCGCAGUCUAGCCAAGGCGGACGGGUGAGUAACGCGUAAGGAACUUGCCCUGCAGACAGGGAUAACAGACGGAAACGACUGAUAACACCUGGUAUUGUCAGGCUGGCGCAUGCCGGCCUGAUGAAAGGAGACGCUGCAGGAGAGCCUUGCGUCCUAUUAGCUAGUUGGUGGGGUAACGGCCCACCAAGGCGAUGAUAGGUAGCCGGCCUGAGAGGGUGGACGGCCACAAGGGGACUGAGAUACGGCCCUUACUCCUACGGGAGGCAGCAGUGGGGAAUAUUGGACAAUGGGGGCAACCCUGAUCCAGCAAUUCUGUGUGCACGAAGAAGGUUUUCGGAUUGUAAAGUGCUUUCAGCAGGGAAGAAGAAAGUGACGGUACCUGCAGAAGAAGCGACGGCUAAAUACGUGCCAGCAGCCGCGGUAAUACGUAUGUCGCGAGCGUUAUCCGGAAUUAUUGGGCAUAAAGGGCAUCUAGGCGGCCUUUCAAGUCAGGGGUGAAAACCUGCGGCUCAACCGCAGGCCUGCCUUUGAAACUGAUAGGCUGGAGUACCGGAGAGGUGGACGGAACUGCACGAGUAGAGGUGAAAUUCGUAGAUAUGUGCAGGAAUGCCGAUGAUGAAGAUAGUUCACUGGACGGUAACUGACGCUGAAGUGCGAAAGCUAGGGGAGCGAACAGGAUUAGAUACCCUGGUAGUCCUAGCUGUAAACGAUGAUUACUGGGU
rnacentral:rRNA from 1 species